rnacentral:lncRNA from 1 species
ACAGACACACUUCCGGCUAAGUACGGGCGUAAUAAUGGUGAUUAAAACUGUUCACCGUUCCUCACUAAAUAUUGACUAACGGAACCUAGCCCUGUAAUGUUGAUAGUCGGGCGGGUCGGAAGUGGCUGAGGUGGAGUAUCUGCAGGAGAAGAACUGAGGCUCCUAAGUGCAGCAUCUUGUCCAAGAGGUUUCGUCCCAAUGCGUGGGGAACAUCCGCAUUGUGAUGUUUAGCUCUCAGUUUCUAACUUGGGCAUUCUAGCAUCUAUAUUUCUCAUUUAAUGUUUUAUGGGCACACAUGCAGAGGAGUUUUCGUCACUGAAAAGCCCGACAACUUCCCCUGCCAACCCAUUGGAAUUAAAAAAACCUCGAUAACCUCUUAGACACAUGGAAAUGGAACCCUGAGCAGAGAGAUUAUGGUGGGUAUCUGUACAGCCUAAGGACCUUGGGUGGACCUGGCCAGCAAUGGGACUGUUACUGAUGAUGCAUCACAUGAUGUCACUAGGAAAAGCAUAGAUCAGCUGAGGAUCAAUCUUCCCACCAGGUGUGUGUGAAAAUGUAGGUUAUGUGCUUCCUUCAGCCCCAAACCUGUUGUCCACACCAGAAUCUGGAAAUAAUCUCACUGGAAUUGGGAGAAUGAUUGAUGAUACUCAGUGUUUUCCCAAAUCUUUGGGCUUCCUUAGCCCUGUAAGUGGAUCAAACAGCUGGGGAGACCAUGGCUAUGCUGGCAUUCAGCAAGUAGGAACAUCAGGAGCACUGAGGCUCUCACUAAUGGUCCUGUCCCAGCCCCUCCACUGUGAAGCUGAGACCUUUCACAGGAACCAAAAAGGGAUUGAUGCUGUGGAGAUGGGGCACUGAUACUCGCA